rnacentral:rRNA from 1 species
GACGAACGCUGGCGGCGUGCUUAACACAUGCAAGUCGAACGAUGAAGCCCUUCGGGGUGGAUUAGUGGCGAACGGGUGAGUAACACGUGGGCAAUCUGCCCUGCACUCUGGGACAAGCCCUGGAAACGGGGUCUAAUACCGGAUAUGACCUGCCGAGGCAUCUUGGUGGGUGGAAAGCUCCGGCGGUGCAGGAUGGGCCCGCGGCCUAUCAGCUUGUUGGUGGGGUGAUGGCCUACCAAGGCGACGACGGGUAGCCGGCCUGAGAGGGCGACCGGCCACACUGGGACUGAGACACGGCCCAGACUCCUACGGGAGGCAGCAGUGGGGAAUAUUGCACAAUGGGCGCAAGCCUGAUGCAGCGACGCCGCGUGAGGGAUGACGGCCUUCGGGUUGUAAACCUCUUUCAGCAGGGAAGAAGCGCAAGUGACGGUACCUGCAGAAGAAGCCCCGGCUAACUACGUGCCAGCAGCCGCGGUAAAAC